rnacentral:rRNA from 1 species
UACGUAGGGGGCAAGCGUUGUCCGGAAUCAUUGGGCGUAAAGAGCGUGUAGGCGGCCAGAUAAGUCCGCUGUGAAAUCUCGAGGCUCAACUUCGAGCUGUCGGCGGAAACCAUCUGGCUAGAGUCCGGAAGAGGAGAGUGGAAUUCCUGGUGUAGCGGUGAAAUGCGCAGAUAUCAGGAAGAACACCCGUGGCGAAGGCGGCUCUCUGGGACGGUACUGACGCUGAGACGCGAAAGCGUGGGGAGCAAACAGG